UUUUGCUGAUGAUUAGUUGCAGAGACAUUUAGCCUUGCAUUGUUUGAGAAAUAUUUUGUGAUAAUAAUUGCAACAUCUGAGGUUUUU
rfam:Triticum urartu cultivar G1812 contig296693, whole genome shotgun sequence.